rnacentral:rRNA from 1 species
AUUGAACGCUGGCGGCAUGCCUUACACAUGCAAGUCGAACGGCAGCACGGGAGCAAUCCUGGUGGCGAGUGGCGAACGGGUGAGUAAUAUAUCGGAACGUGCCCAGUCGUGGGGAUAACGUAGCGAAAGCUGCGCUAAUACCGCAUACGAUCUAUGGAUGAAAGCGGGGGAUCGCAAGACCUCGCGCGAUUGAAGCGGCCGAUAUCAGAUUAGGUAGUUGGUGAGGUAAAGGCUCACCAAGCCGACGAUCUGUAGCUGGUCUGAGAGGACGACCAGCCACACUGGGACUGAGACACGGCCCAGACUCCUACGGGAGGCAGCAGUGGGGAAUUUUGGACAAUGGGCGCAAGCCUGAUCCAGCAAUGCCGCGUGCAGGAUGAAGGCCUUC